rnacentral:misc_RNA from 1 species
GCUUUAUGUACUUCCCAAGUGAUUUUUGGCGAGCCCUCUUCUUUAUUCUCUGAAUCUUGUCCUUGCUUUGUUGUCUCCUUUUUUCCUUCUGUUGUAACCGCAUGUUUCGCUCCCUGUCGUAUAUCCCCUGCCAGAAUACCUCGCCAGUUAAUGGCCAGAGCCAUCUGCGGACCGGGCGAUCAGUAUCCGAUUCCUCGGCUAAAUCCUCAUCCAUGCUCUUCAGUGUGGCAGGUGAGAACCAUUUGAUCCACAUCUGACCUCGUCGUCCCUUCAACUUGUGCUGCUCCUGCAUCACUCCGGUCUCAGGGUUUAUAUACACCAUGCGACGUGCACUG